UGCUUCGGCCGGGAAUCGAACCCGGGCCCCGCGUGGCAGGCGAACAUUCUACCACUGAACCACCGAUGGU